CAGUAAGGAAUAUUGGUCAAUGGACGAAAGUCUGAACCAGCCAUGCCGCGUGAAGGAUGAAGGCCCUCUGGGUUGUAAACUUCUUUUAUAGGGGACGAAAAAAGGGCAUUCUUGCUCACUUGACGGUACCCUAGGAAUAAGCACCGGCUAACUCCGUGCCAGCAGCCGCGGUAAUACGGAGGGUGCAAGCGUUAUCCGGAUUCACUGGGUUUAAAGGGUGCGUAGGUGGGUCUGUAAGUCAGUGGUGAAAUCUCCGAGCUUAACUCGGAAACUGCCAUUGAUACUAUAGGUCUUGAAUAUCCUGGAGGUGAGCGGAAUAUGUCAUGUAGCGGUGAAAUGCUUAGAUAUGACAUAGAACACCAAUUGCGAAGGCAGCUCGCUACGGGAUUAUUGACACUGAGGCACGAAAGCGUGGGGAUCAAACAGGAUUAGAUACCCUGGUAGUCCACGCCCUAAACGAUGGAUACUCGACAUCAGCGAUACACUGUUGGUGUCUG
rnacentral:rRNA from 1 species